rnacentral:rRNA from 1 species
AUUGAACGCUGGCGGCAGGCCUAACACAUGCAAGUCGAACGGUAACAGGAAGAAGCUUGCUUCUUUGCUGACGAGUGGCGGACGGGUGAGUAAUGUCUGGGAAACUGCCUGAUGGAGGGGGAUAACUACUGGAAACGGUAGCUAAUACCGCAUAACGUCGCAAGACCAAAGAGGGGGACCUUCGGGCCUCUUGCCAUCGGAUGUGCCCAGAUGGGAUUAGCUAGUUGGUGGGGUAACGGCUCACCUAGGCGACGAUCCCUAGCUGGUCUGAGAGGAUGACCAGCCACACUGGAACUGAGACACGGUCCAGACUCCUACGGGAGGCAGCAGUGGGGAAUAUUGCACAAUGGGCGCAAGCCUGAUGCAGCCAUGUCGCGUGUAUGAAGAAGGCCUUCGGGUUGUAAAGUACUUUCAGCGGGGAGGAAGGGAGUAAAGUUAAUACCUUUGCUCAUUGACGUUACCCGCAGAAGAAGCACCGGCUAACUCCGUGCCAGCAGCCGCCGUAA